rnacentral:sRNA from 1 species
AUGUUUGUGUAAUGUCAGUGUGAAUGUGUUAAAGAAGCUGAUGUAGUGUAUUACUGUCUGAAUAUCUUUGUUCAAUUCAUGUAGUAACUUAAUUAAAUAAGUAUCAUGUUUCUCUUAAUUCUAAUUAAAAUAAAUUGCAAAGGCAAGAAGCUUGAUGCUUUGGAAUCUGGUCCAAAUAUUCACUCAGUAGAAAGAGAAGAUCAUGUAAAGGUCAAAAAGAAGAUAGUGUAGGUGACACUAUAUAAAAUGUUUUCAGGUAGUCAAUGUGUUUGUUUUGUUUGACAGUCAUGUACUAGCAAACUCAUCUAUGUUGACAUUUUAAAGUAAGGAGCAAAGUUAGUUGAGAGGGGAGACAUUGGAAGUAUGGUAGGCUUACUUAAUGGACCAAUACAAGAAUAAACUUAUUAAUUUCAUGAAACAUAGUGUUUGUUAGUAACGGAGUAAAGCAGA